rnacentral:rRNA from 1 species
UACGAAGGGGGGCUAGCGUUGCUCGGAAUGACUGGGCGUAAAGGGCGCGUAGGCGGCUCAUACAGUCAGAUGUGAAAUUCCUGGGCUUAACCUGGGGGCUGCAUUUGAUACGUGUGGGCUUGAGUGGGGAAGAGGGUCGUGGAAUUCCCAGUGUAGAGGUGAAAUUCGUAGAUAUUGGGAAGAACACCGGUGGCGAAGGCGGCGACCUGGUCCUUGACUGACGCUGAGGUGCGAAAGCGUGGGGAGCAAACAGG